ensembl:snRNA LOC120096743 U6 spliceosomal RNA
AUGCUCACUUCUGCAGCACAUAUACUAAAAUUGGAAUGAUACAGAGAAGAUUAGCAUGGCCCCAGCAAAAAGAUGACAGGCAAAUUCAUGAAGUUUUCCAUAUUUUU